GGUGUCACUCACGGCCCACCUCGGACACCUAAUAACAGUCACCGCCCCUCGUGCCGCCCAGUCUUCCUCGUCCUCGCUGAAGGGUCGCUGUGUGGUUCGUGCACCCGCUGGUUGAGCGUUGAAUCCUUCCUGAUCUGACUGAACAUUGCCUGAAUGCUACAGAAAAUCCAUAAACAACUGACCAUAAGAAAGUCAUCCAUCGUGGGAAGGAGGCAACAUGUUCUUGUACCAGUGCCUGUCUUUCCUCAGGAUGAGCAGGAGCCAGUUCUGCCAGUGCAGCCUGUAAGGUGUCUGCUGACAAACCUGAGGUCUUGAGGUGUAAGGAGUUUGAGCAUCUGGUGCCACAGACAGUCUUCUUGCACUUUUGGGGGUUCUCAAAGCGCCUGGAAAUAUACAUAGAAGUAUUAAUUUGGUGUCUUGGGUGUCCUUGGCGUACCCGGAAGACUUCUGUGGGUUGAGUGAGGGGUGUGAGGUGUCCCUGGAGAGUUGCCUGUCUUGGUAGCAGACUCAGCUUUCUCCAACAUGCUCAGUCUUUUCUUUGGAGUGUGAAAUCCAAACACAGUGGCUGUUCUAAUGUGAUUUUCUUCAUUCCCCAACAAUUCUAGAAAAUAAAUAAAAAUAAAUAAAUAAAUAUGUAAAUAAACAAAUAAGGAAUAAUAAUAAAAAAUAAUAAUGAUAA